CUUGUCACAUUUACUGAAAAUCAGCCUAUUGAUAUCACAGCUGAAAAUAUAAACUCGACAACCAAAGCCCAUUGCACAACGUGGACUGCGUAAGAGUUAAAAAUAGAUGCGACGUGCCUCCUACCUGCAUAAUAAAUAUUCCCUCAAAAUCCUGAGCAGUAUUGACAAACCACACAAGCACAGGGUCUGACUGCAUGAUCAGCUGUCUGUGUCUACGCUACACCCUGUUAACCACAAGCAGUGUUAGAGCUAAAUAUAUCUGCAAUGCAGAAACGUCUGGGAAGGAGAUGAUCCUAACAGUCAGUGCUUUAAAAUAUUCAGAAUACCCUUCCAUAAAUAGCACAUCUGUCACACAGAAAGGGAACCCAGCCAGCAGAAAGGGAGACCAGACCAACAAAAACAACUGCUAUUCCUAUACAUGAUUACAAAGUAAGUUAGGAUUUAAGUAAUCGUUUAUUUGGAUUUUUUUGGUUUGAGCUUUUUAAAUUAAGAGCUGUCUGUCAACUGAGCAUGCCAGUGUAUGUAGGCUUAAAAUUAAAAGAUUGUUAAGUAUGGAAACAUUUUGAGUUUUUUUUAAACGUUCAUCUCUUAGUCAAAUAAGACUAUUGGGCCUGUCACCCUGUUUAAAACCAUGACAGAGCUCCUAUAAAUUUCAGGAAGUUAACUUUUGGGUCUUAUUUAGCAUUCUGUUAGGUUUACGAAUAUUUCAUUACAAUCUGGGAACUAAGUGGUGGGUUUGCUUAAAUAUAAUGGUUUGCAGCAAAAUACAGCAUUAGAAAAGUAUCACAAUAAAUAAAUAUGUUCCUACAAUCUAGGGGUCAAUGUUCUUAUUCUCCCAGGAAAGUACUUUCUGGGAGGGACACAAAAGUCAUUUUGUGUUGUGUGAUUUAGGGCAUAGCAAAAGCCUGCCAGCAGCAAACACAGCAGAGGAAUCUCACAGUGAACAGGGAAGUGACCUUGUCCAGAUCUUUAUGCAUACCUCUUAUUUCAAUGAGCCAUUUUCAGUGCUCCAGGCUUAUAAUUCUCCAGGCUUAGAUUUCAAGGAUUUUACUUCAGAUUCUACAUAAUUUUAGUUCAGAUAUCAGAUUCUAGGCCCUUCAUCACUUCAUAAAUAAAUCCCAAAAAAACACACGUAGAGGUUGCACACAGUAGGCCUGAUGUUCAAGGCAGAGAUAUAUUCACACUGUAUUAUUUCUCAGGCAGAAGCUUGGAUUUAAGAUCCAGCCUGAUUUGUGCCAAAACUGUUACAGUCCCAAGACUAGGAACUGGCUUUCCUGAUUCUUGACUUCAGAAUUCCCUGCCUUUGCUGGGUCAGGAAUAUGUCAGCCCAUGCCAUGAGGUUGUGUCAGUUCUUUAUUCAAUCAGCUUAGAGUGAGGCUAUUUCAAGUAUCCUCACUGGAUCCCACAGGCUGUUUGCUCUGUGAACUUUUUCCACUUUAAAGCUUCCUACUUGUAAACAUGCUUCCUCUUCCUCUGUUUAUCACCACUCUAGAGCAACAACAUUUAAUCUCCCCUUGCACAUGAUAGUUUAUCUAAAUUGGUGAGGAGUGAAGAGUCCCAAUGCCACUUUGUAUUGCAACCUCCACUUUGUGGUAUACAGUUUCUCAGAGGAAGGGUCCUAAUCCUCUGUAUAGAUCAUUCGGGUAGCAGGAGCAAAAGUCCCUGAACAGUACUGAUUUUUGUCUGAAAGUAUUGCCACACCAUGUUAUCUUAAGCAGGAAAUACGUGAGUGCAGUCUGGUAGAUUGGGAACUAUGCCAAGGACCAACCUUAGAGAGAUAAGGCUGGAAGAAGACUAGCAGGGGAAAAAAAAAAAUCCAUUCAGUUUUAUUCAGAUCGGCUCACUUCUGUUUUUAUUCAACAUGGACCCGUACUGGACCAAAAGAAUAAAUUGUCCCUCUAACUAUAGAGGACACCCUGGAUGUGAGAGUUAUGCUCAAUAUAUAAAUGAAUUAAACCUAUAUACAGGUGGGCUUAUUCCCAUUUCAGUACUUAGUGUGUUUUUUUGUUUGUUUUAAAUUUAAAAUGUUUGUCAAAUAAAUGAGCAAUGCAAAACAAACUAUAGAAUCAAUCCCAGUCUCAAGAAACUGUAGUCAACUGCUCUGUGAUACCAUCCCUACAAAGCAGUGACAAGGGGACAUGAAGCACAGCUGGGAAUGCAGGGUGGGGGUUUUCUGAAGUGCAUACCAGUACCGUCUACUGUCUUUCAACAAACCUGCUCUUGGAAUAACUCUUUCAGCCUCUUAAUUUAGCUGCAUUAAUUACAUUUGUCUCUUCAUUCCACUAAUGUUACUGGGAAAAAAAAAAAAAGAAAAAACAAAAAGAAAAAGAACAAGACUCUAUUGAUGAAUAGUGUGGAGGAAUGGGUAAGUGAAGUAGGUCAUGUGGAUGUUGAGCAGCUAGGAGGCCGCGAGUUAACAAAGUAUCGAACACAGCUCAAAUGAGCCUGAGAAAAUACGUAAAUGCAGCCUGGGAAGGAAUGUAAGUUCUGGGAGGUUUUAGGGAGGUUUCAGGGAGGUUUCAGGUACAAGAACGUGAUAUCUGUUGGUAUGCUGGGAAAGUACUAACUGUGUUAUUUUGGUGGGAAACUAGCUGAUAGAAUAGAGAAAUGCACUAACCAAUCAUGAGCUUAGCUUUUGCAAUAUGUAUGAGCUAAUUAUAUUGAAUUAGAUAAAAGACGACUGAGCUAUCCAAUAAAUCGAAGUUCACUGAUCACUCA